ACGAAAAAGGAAAAGGAAAAACAAAAACUUGUUUCUUUCACUCUCUCUCACGCGAUUCACACCGUUUCUCCCAAACAGUUUCUUCUGAUCCACGAACGCUCGCGGAAGCUUUGUGUCGCAACGCAACAGCCAUCGUCGUCCUCGCCAAUCGUUCGUCAAGCUCGAGCAUUGUGAAGCAACCUUCGCCGCCGUCGAGCGACCACCGCUCCAUCUCCAUCGCAGCCACACACCACGCCUCGCCGGAUCUGUUCUGCCACUCGUUGGAUUUGCUCCCUUUGAUCGCAAUUCUAGAUCCAUUUUCUACCAAUUGAACACAUAGGUUAAACCUUGUGAAGCAGAAAUUUGGGUUGAAAGCAAUUUCAAUUCUCUGUUUUCGUGUUGUUAAUUUGGAAAUGGUUGACUUAGGGUUUCAAUUCCAGCUCAAAUAUAUUAUCUAUCUGAGGUACAGUUCUAUCUAUUCACUCUUUCUUUCUCAAAUAGAUUCUCCAUUUGUUCUGUUCCUGAUUUGCAUUGUAUAACUCCUUAACUAAAAUUUGAUGAAAUAUUGUAUUGUCAAAUCUAGAUUUAGUUUGCUGUAAAGAAUUGAUUUAUGAACUAGUGGAUGAUAUGAUCUGGUGUGAAUAUGAGUUCAUAUGAGCAAGGUUUCCAAAUUAUUUUCCAUGGGUAACUUUUUUGUUAAGGCUUAUCUUCUUCGCUUUGAUGAUCAACUAUGGCUUCUGGUGGCAUGGAAUUUGAAUCUGAAGUUGUCUGCAACCGAAUCACAAGGAAGUUGUCGCACACUCAGAGUGUGCUCCAUCUCCGCUCGUAAACGUCGCAUUCGUCACCGGGCGUUGGAAGAUCCAAACGGAAAAAGUUCCAAAUCAUCAUCAUCAACGCCAAGAGUUGGAUCGCCGGGAGAAAGUUUGGCCUGUGGCAUCUCAACGACUGCGGCAAAUCAUCUUCAUCGACAUUCUAGUUCUUCCACUUGUGAGGUUCAAAGGUUUUGGUCAAGCAACCAAGAAGGUAAGCCACGAUUAAUAUACUAUAUAGUGUUUUGAAUGUUGUCAUUAAGUAAAUAUUCCAUAGAUACAGCUUUUUUAAUUUGUUCCCAUAGACAUACUGUGUUUUGAGAUACCUUAUGCAAGUUCUAGUUUCAAUUGGCACUACUAAAUACUAAUCAUUGCAAUAUGUUGUUUCCAUCUAUCUUUUGCUUCUCCAUUGUUAGAUUUGUUUUAAUUUGAUGCUACAUAGUUUGAUUUAUAAUGAUUUCUCUUCCUAUCUAGUAGAAGGAAAAAAAACUGUUCAGUGGUUUCAGAUGAAAUCUAGAUAAAAAGAAGUCCAGGAUUAGGUCAUGAAUUAUCUUAUUCAAAUUCAAUAAUGGCAAUAGUUGAAAACAAAGAGUUAUCUGCUCAUCAGCAAAGCCUCUGAUGUAAGCUUUUCUGCUCUCUCAUCUCAUUUAAUUGUCACUUGCUUGUGUUGUCAUUCCAAUUAUAUGUGAUUUUAAUGACAGUAGAUUUGAUUUAGAAAUGAUUCUUAUUGAACUUUAUUCACUAUCAUGUUGUUUACUUGUUAUGUUCCAAGUAAGAAGCUUCAUUAGUGCUAACUCUCUCUUCCCAUUGGCCCCAAACAAACCAUAUUACUUCCAAUGAGAUAUUCUCACUGAUGCAUUCUUUGGAAGGCCUAAAACAUCACGGUCCUGCUGAAGCAAUAGACAUAUCAAGGCCUAAAAGAUCUUUCUUAUGACAUUCUUUUUCUAUUUAUUCAACGGAGCCUGUUGCAAAGAACCUGCUUCUGAGGUAUUAAAAGUUCUGAAUUUUUUUAUAGCAGAGGAAUGUUGGACUUCUUUAUCUUAAUGAUGAUUAAAUAAUAAUAAGUUUUUAUGUUCUAUGCAAAUCCUUCCAAUACCAAUUUUGACAAAGUACUUGCUAGGAAAGACAUAUAGUGAGCAAAGCUGAUGAGAAUCCUUUUUUGCUUUCAAUGCUAUUUUUCAUUUCUUAGGUAUUGAUAUAGUUAGUUUUUUUUGUUUAUAAGAAUAAUUCUUUGAAGAGAGAUUAUUGAAGGGAACAUUGUAGUUGUUUGUGUUCUACUAUGCUUUUGAGGCUAUGUAGUUUCAAGCAAAAAAUUUCAUGUGGCAAUUUUAACAGAUACUAGAUUAUAGCAAUCUUUUAUGUGUUUAGUUUUGUUGA